rnacentral:rRNA from 1 species
AUUGCACAAUGGGCGCAAGCCUAUGCAGCGACGCCGCGUGAGGGAUGACGGCCUUCGGGUUGUAAACCUCUUUCAGUAGGGAAGAAGCGAAAGUGACGGUACCUGCAGAAGAAGCACCGGCUAACUACGUGCCAGCAGCCGCGGUAAUACGUAGGGUGCGAGCGUUAUCCGGAAUUAUUGGGCGUAAAGAGCUCGUAGGCGGUUUGUCGCGUCUGUCGUGAAAGUCCGGGGCUUAACCCCGGAUCUGCGGUGGGUACGGGCAGACUAGAGUGCAGUAGGGGAGACUGGAAUUCCUGGUGUAGCGGUGGAAUGCGCAGAUAUCAGGAGGAACACCGAUGGCGAAGGCAGGUCUCUGGGCUGUAACUGACGCUGAGGAGCGAAAGCAUGGGGAGCGAACAGGAUUAGAUACCCUGGUAGUCCAUGCCGUAAACGUUGGGCACUAGGUGUGGGGACCAUUCCACGGUUUCCGCGCCGCAGCUAACGCAUUAAGUGCCCCGCCUGGGGAGUACGGCCGCAAGGCUAAAACUCAAAGGAAUUGACGGGGGCCCGCACAAGCGGCGGAGCAUGCGGAUUAAUUCGAUGCAACGCGAAGAACCUUACCAAGGCUUGACAUGUUCUCGAUCGCCGUAGAGAUACGGUUUCCCCUUUGGGGCGGGUUCACAGGUGGUGCAUGUUGUCGUCAGCUCGUGUCGUGAGAUGUUGGGUUAAGUCCCGCA